rnacentral:rRNA from 1 species
AGUGCUCGCAAGAGAACCGGAACACAGGUGCUGCAUGGCUGUCGUCAGCUCGUGUCGUGAGAUGUUGGGUUAAGUCCCGCAACGAGCGCAACCCUUGUCAUUAGUUGCUACGAAAGGGCACUCUAAUGAGACUGCCGGUGACAAACCGGAGGAAGGUGGGGAUGACGUCAAGUCCUCAUGGCCCUUAUGGGUAGGGCUUCACACGUCAUACAAUGGUCGGGACAGAGGGUCGCCAACCCGCGAGGGGGAGCCAAUCCCAGAAACCCGAUCGUAGUCCGGAUCGCAGUCUGCAACUCGACUGCGUGAAGUCGGAAUCGCUAGUAAUCGCGGAUCAGCAUGUCGCGGUGA